AUUUAUUUUAUGAAUGAAGAAGAGGUGGUUAAGAAAAUGAUGGAAUGUGCAUAAAUGAGUAAAUUGACACUAGCAAUUAGAUAAAGA